GAUGAACGCUGGCGGCGUGCCUAAUACAUGCAAGUCGAGCGAACGGACGAGAAGCUUGCUUUUCUGAUGUUAGCGGCGGACGGGUGAGUAACACGUGGAUAACCUACCUAUAAGACUGGGAUAACUUCGGGAAACCGGAGCUAAUACCGGCUAAUAUUUUGUACCGCAUGGUUCAAAAGUGAAAGACGGUCUUGCUGUCACUUAUAGAUGGAUCCGCGCUGCAUUAGCUAGUUGGUAAGGUAACGGCUUACCAAGGCAACGAUGCAUAGCCGACCUGAGAGGGUGAUCGGCCACACUGGAACUGAGACACGGUCCAGACUCCUACGGGAGGCAGCAGUAGGGAAUCUUCCGCAAUGGGCGAAAGCCUGACGGAGCAACGCCGCGUGAGUGAUGAAGGUCUUCGGAUCGUAAAACUCUGUUAUUAGGGAAGAACAUAUGUGUAAGUAACUGUGCACAUCUUGACGGUACCUAAUCAGAAAGCCACGGCUAACUACGUG
rnacentral:rRNA from 1 species